rnacentral:lncRNA from 1 species
UUUUUUCGUCUUUUUUCAUUUAGACAAGGUCUCAGGCUAGCUUUCAAGUCCCAUCACUGCAGGGGAAAAAAAACCUUCAUAAAUUGUGCUUAAGGACCACUGUAGACUGAAUUGUGUGCUUAAAAGUCCACAGGCUAAAUUCCUGAGCUCAAACUGAUGCUUUUCAUAGAAAACUGCCUUUGAGAAGUAACUGAAAUUAGGUGGCCACGGUGGGAUUGGUAGAAAAGCAGUAGACCUCUUUCUGUUGCUUCAUAGUGACAAGACCAAGGACAGAAGAAUGGUCUCUGUGAGCCCAGAAGAGCAUCAUGACCUUUGGCAUACAAUCUCCAACUGAGAAAAGAUUAUUUAUUUUUAUGAUCUACUCUGUUUUGUUAUGACAGUGAUAGUCAAGUGUAAAUCUGCAGUGCGAACACAGACGUGGACCUUCCUUCCCUCCUUGGUCCCUUUGGUUCUCAUAGGAGGAUGAUGAUAGCAAUGAAAUACCAUUAAUGGAUAAGUUUACAAAUAGCUUUAUUUGUGUUUCUGAUGGAGACCAUACAGACUGACUGCAUCCGCAAGUGGAACAACUCAAUGAGGUGUGACUGAGAUGAACACAGAUCCACGAGGUAGGCUCUGUAUAAGUGCUGAAUCACUGCAUGAGUACAGGGCUAACAAGAGACUGUGGAGUGUUUUGUAUGAGUGGAAGGUAUAAUGAGUUGAUUCUGUAAUUGUAGUAAUAAUAGAAAAGGAGGGAGAAGUGAAGUAAGAGAAAAUCAAUUUUAAGUUAAACAAGGACACCAAUGUGUAGUUUUCUCUGCUGUGGCCACUAUGGAAAGUUUGGGUCGAACUUCUUAACUUUCCUUGUGGAUGUUUAGAAAUUAAGUAUUGAUUUGGUGUUUAGCUCUGCUCUUGGGUCCUCUCAUAGCCCUGGCUCCAAAUCACUCUUUAUAUUUCUCCAAAAUCGAGAAUCAAUGAGAUGGAAAUUACAAGUGUAUUUUUAAAAGUUUUUAUAGUCCUUUGAAGAAAAUAAAAUUGCUUUAUUUUUCCACACGAUACUAUUUAAAUUUUAUUAUUCUAUAUUGACGAUUCAGAGAUCACUGUUUCUAUAUUAUUUAUCUUUCAUUACCAUGCAGUUACAGAUGCAAACACUGACAACUUCACACCCAAUUCUAGUGUUAUGGCUGCAUAUAGAUACUCAGUCUUUUUGUUUACUUAAAGCAAUAUUAACCAAAAGAUAUUAGGACUGUCUUCAGAAGCACAAUAAGACAUUAGAUAGAUCUUAUUUUAAAAUAGCACUUAAAUUUAUACAGCAGUUGAAUGCUAUCUUUACCAACCAGAAUUACAUAGGC